GACGAACGCUGGCGGCGUGCUUAACACAUGCAAGUCGAACGGAAAGGCCCUGCUCUUGUUGGGUUCUCGAUUGGCGAACGGGUGAGUAACACGUGUGUAACCUGCCCUUGACUUUGGGAUAACUUCACGAAACUGGGGCUAAUACCGGAUAUGAGCUCCUGCUGCAUGGUGGGGGUUGGAAAGUUUCGGCGGUUGGGGAUGUACUCGCGGCUUAUCCGCUUGUUGGUGUGGUAGUUGCUUACCAAGGCUUUGACGGGUAGCCGGCCUGAGAGGGUGACCGGCGACAUUGGGACUGAGGUACGGCGCAGACUGCUACGGGAGGCAACGGUGGGGAGUAUUACGCAGUAGGCGGAAGCCAGAUACGGAAACGCCGCGUGCGGGAUGACGGGCUUCGGGUUAUAAACAGCUUUCGCCUGUGACGAAGCGUGAGUGACGGUAAUGAGUAAAGAAGCACCGGCUAACUACGUG
rnacentral:rRNA from 1 species